CAGUAGCCGCGGUAAUACGAGGGGUGCAAGCGUUAUUCGGAUUGACAGGGUGUAAAGGGUGUGCAGACGGCUUAUUAAGUCACUUGUUAAAUUCUUCGGCCUAACUGAAGGUCUGCAAGUGAUACUGAUGAGCUAGAGGGUGGAAGAGAGAAGUGGAAUUCUCGGAGUAGCGGUAAAAUGCGUAGAUCUCGAGAGGAACACCAAUGGCGAAGGCAGCUUCUUGGUCCAUUCCUGACGUUCAUACACGAAAGCGUGGGGAGCAAACAGGAUUAGAUACCCGGGUAGUCCCUGUCUCUUAUAC
rnacentral:rRNA from 1 species